rnacentral:snRNA from 1 species
AUACUUAUCUGGCAGAGAGGUUUUACCGUGAUCAUGAGGAUGGUUUUCCCAGGGUGAGGCUAUCCAUUGCCACCUGUAUGUCCUGACCCCUGCAGUUUCUCCAAAUGUGUGAAACUCGGAUUCGAAAUUUGUGGUAAUGCAUUGUG